rnacentral:sRNA from 1 species
ACAGUAGCAAGUUGCCCUCCAACACAAGGGAUUAUGUCAAUCACAUCCAAGUUGGUUACGAGUGCAGUAAAAGUUGUUGGGUCUGUUUCUGCUGAUCCACGGAUUGAAAAGCUCGUUUCUUGAGACUUAUACGUUGAACGAUGUGAUACUAUGCACUCGCAGUCCGUGCAAUUCCGCGACGCGCUUCUUAUUAGAUACAUAGGUGUGUGGUGUAACUCUUGGUCGAAGAUUGGUUGCUCAUAGACAGAUACAACUAGUCAAUUUGAAGCAGUAAGAUAGGCGGAUGCAAUCAAUCUUGCGACUCAUGUUACUGUUUGUAUUGCAUUGCGCUGAGCCAGCGUUCUUCUUAUGCUCUAAAAAUAAUUAUAUUGAGCGGUGUGUGGUGUGGUUGUUCAAACGACUUCUAUCGCACUGAUUCCAGAGGAUGCUGAUGUACAGUAACCCAACUUUUUUUGAAGUAAGAAUUUCUAUGAUUUAGCCCAGUGGAAACCUGCCCAUUGCCCCAUCUUCGCCGCC